AUUGAACGCUGGCGGCAGGCCUAACACAUGCAAGUCGAGCGAAAGAGUGUGCUUGCACACUCGAAAGCGGCGGACGGGUGAGUAAUGCGUGGGAAUCUGCCUGUAGAUGGGGGAUAGCCCGGAGAAAUCCGGAUUAAUACCGCAUAAUACCUGAGGGUUAAAGUGGAGGAUCGCAAGACUUCACGUCUACAGAUGAGCCCACGUCAGAUUAGCUAGUUGGUAGGGUAAAGGCCUACCAAGGCGACGAUCUGUAGCUGGCCUGAGAGGGUGGCCAGCCACACUGGAACUGAGACACGGUCCAGACUCCUACGGGAGGCAGCAGUGGGGAAUAUUGGACAAUGGGCGCAAGCCUGAUCCAGCCAUGCCGCGUGUGUGAAGAAGGCCUUCGGGUUGUAAAGCACUUUAAGUUGGGAGGAAGGUUCGAUGGCUAAUAUCCAUCGGAAUUGACGUUACCAACAGAAUAAGCACCGGCUAAUUCCGUGCCAGCAGCCGCCGUAACAC
rnacentral:rRNA from 1 species